UUCUUACUAGCUUAAUGGUAAAGCAUUAUACUUCUAAUAUAACUAUUUAAGUUCAAAUCUUAGGUAAGAGU